UUCCAGACUCCUACGGGAGGCAGCAGUGGGGGAUAUUGCACAAUGGGGGGAACCCUGAUGCAGCGACGCCGCGUGGGUGAAGAAGUAUUUCGGUAUGUAAAGCCCUAUCGGCAGGGAAGAAAUUGGACGGUACCUGACUAAGAAGCCCCGGCUAACUACGUGCCAGCAGCCGCGGUAAUACGUAGGGGGCAAGCGUUAUCCGGAUUCACUGGGUGUAAAGGGAGCGUAGACGGCGACGCAAGUCUGGAGUGAAAGCCCGGGGCCCAACCCCGGGACUGCUCUGGAAACUGCGUCGCUGGAGUACGGGAGGGGCAGGCGGAAUUCCUGGUGUAGCGGUGAAAUGCGUAGAUAUCAGGAGGAACACCGGCGGCGAGGGCGGCCUGCUGGACCGUGACUGACGUUGAGGCUCGAGAGCGUGGGGAGCAAACAGGAUUAGAUACCCCCGUAACG
rnacentral:rRNA from 1 species